UCCUUUGAAAUACUUAUGCCUGGAUAGACCUAGUGAGUAAGUCGGCGAGGUCGGAUGCCGAGCCCACUGGGAACUUUGUUGUAGUUCUCACACCACUAACCCUACAGGUCCUAGCACUAGCGGGGCGGCGGAGGACCGAGGCAAGGGUAAAGCGCCGUAGAUAGCGGCCACCGGGACUCAUACAUUUUGUAGCCAUUUCCCUUUUGU
rnacentral:lncRNA from 1 species